UUCCGGUUGAUCCUGCCGGAGGUUACUGCUAUUGGUGUUCGACUAAGCCAUGCAAGUCAUAUGUUCCUCGUGAACAUGGCAUACUGCUCAGUAACACGUGGAUAACCUGCCCUUGGGUCUGGGAUAACCCCGGGAAACUGGGGAUAAUACCGGAUGACGCAUAUGUGCUGGAAUGCUUUAUGCGUAAAACGGAUUCGUCCGCCCAAGGAUGGGUCUGCGGCCUAUCAGGUAGUAGUGGGUGUAAUGUACCUACUAGCCAACAACGGGUACGGGUUGUGAGAGCAAGAGCCCGGAGAUGGAUUCUGAGACAUGAAUCCAGGCCCUACGGGGCGCAGCAGGCGCGAAAACUUUACAAUGCGGGAAACCGUGAUGAGGGAACACCGAGUGCCAGCAUCAUAUGCUGGCUGUCCAGAUGUGUAAACUACAUCUGUUAGCAAGGGCCGGGCAAGACCGGUGCCAGCCGCCGCGGUAACACCGGCGGCCCGAGUGGUGACCGUUAUUAUUGGGUCUAAAGGGUCCGUAGCCGGUUUGGUCAGUCCUCCGGGAAAUCUGAUAGCUUAACUGUUAGGCUUUCGGGGGAUACUGCCAGGCUUGGAACCGGGAGAGGUAAGAGGUACUACAGGGGUAGGAGUGAAAUCUUGUAAUCCCUGUGAGACCACCUGUGGCGAAGGCGUCUUACCAGAACGGGUUCGACGGUGAGGGAAGAAAGCUGGGGGCACGAACCGGAUUAGAUACCCGGGUAGU
rnacentral:rRNA from 1 species